rnacentral:rRNA from 1 species
GAUGAACGCUGGCGGCGUGCCUAAUACAUGCAAGUCGAGCGAACAGAUAAGGAGCUUGCUCCUUUGACGUUAGCGGCGGACGGGUGAGUAACACGUGGGUAACCUACCUAUAAGACUGGAAUAACUCCGGGAAACCGGGGCUAAUGCCGGAUAACAUGUUGAACCGCAUGGUUCUACAGUGAAAGGCGGCUUUGCUGUCACUUAUAGAUGGACCCGCGCCGUAUUAGCUAGUUGGUGGGGUAACGGCUCACCAAGGCAACGAUACGUAGCCGACCUGAGAGGGUGAUCGGCCACACUGGAACUGAGACACGGUCCAGACUCCUACGGGAGGCAGCAGUAGGGAAUCUUCCGCAAUGGGCGAAAGACUGACGGAGCAACGCCGCGUGAGUGAUGAAGGUCUUCGGAUCGUAAAACUCUGUUAUUAGGGAAGAACAAAUGCGUAAGUAACUGUGCGCGUCUUGACGGUACCUAAUCAGAAAGCCACGGCUAACUACGUG